UACGUAGGGUGCAAGCGUUGUCCGGAAUUAUUGGGCGUAAAGAGCUCGUAGGCGGUUUGUCGCGUCUGCUGUGAAAACCCGAGGCUCAACCUCGGGCCUGCAGUGGGUACGGGCAGACUAGAGUGCGGUAGGGGAGAUUGGAAUUCCUGGUGUAGCGGUGAAAUGCGCAGAUAUCAGGAAGAACACCCGUGGCGAAGGCGGUUCUCUGGAACGCAACUGACGCUGAGACGCGAAAGCGUGGGGAGCAAACAGG
rnacentral:rRNA from 1 species